rnacentral:lncRNA from 10 species
AUGCUGCAGAAAAUAGUAUGGACCCUUGUAGCUCCCAUUUUUCCUCCCAGUUAUGGAAUUAUUUAUGCUACUUACUCUUACAAAUACAACCAGGUGUCCUCUUGGAGAGGGGGAGUUGGGUAGUAUUUACCUUACAGAGGCUGAAUUUUCCAAAGGAGAGCCUUUAAACUAGACAAAACUUUAAGUUUCCAAUGUUGAAGCUCAAAAUGUUCUUCUCUGAUACCCAACAGGAAAAGUGCUUACUUGAAAGAUUUGAUUUAAUUUGUCAUAGAAUACAAGGUACAGUAUUUUUUUUUUAACUUUUUUUGUUCAUUUGAGUCCUAGAGAGAAAAAUAUUCUUCUCUAUUAAUAGUAAUAUCGGAUCAUUUACCUAUUUUAUAAUUUUUUCUCUGUUCCAGUAUAUACACUUAUUUUCAUUUAAUGUCUGUUUGCAUUGCUAAAAGACACUGAAUAGAAAUGAUAAUAAUAGUGUUAAGUUGGCUCUUAUUUGAAGUGGGAAACUUCCAUAACAGAGCAAUACAUGUCUUUGUUUAUGAGUUGUGAGCCCUCAUAUUCCCUUAGAUAAUAUUCACCUUGAUACCAACCUCUUGGAUAAAUUCAGUUCUCCUUGUCUUUGUUCUCAUAGGCCACCGUAUAUACACAAUAUUUGGGCUUAUACUACUAUACUAUAAAUUGGGAAUUUUAGCCUGUGCCUUCCACUGGGACAGUGACUCCCUGAGAGUAAAACUUUGGUUUUCUGCGGUAUUCAGUCCCUGAUGUGGUGUUUAUCACAUGAUGGAUGCUCACUUUAUAUGCUUAAGAAUCCAACAAAUUGGUGUUUUGAGGAUAUGCAUUGGAUUCUAAAGUGGCAGUGUUGUCUGAAAAUAGAAUUUAUAAAUAUACAAGAUUAUUAUACUGUCAUUUGAGAUUACAUUAGAAUAUAAUUAACAAGAAAGAUGAUGCACAUAAUGCAUUAAUCAUCUCUGUAUUUGGUGUAUAUAUACAAAGGAAACAGAAAGUUAAUAAGUACUUUAACUUAAUGAGAAUUUCCCUAAAUUCAACUGUACUUUCUCUGACUGAUUUAAAUUUCACUUCAAUUACACAUCAUCUUUUCAUUUUAUAUGAAUUCCCAGUUUGUGACAUUUCUAAAUUAAAAAUUAGAUGAGAAUUUUAGAUGAUUUAAGACAAUAUUUUUAAACAUGUUACAUCAAUCUUCUGAGUUGUUUAAAAGCAAGACAUUGUCACUCUCUACUGCUGAAUAUGAUGCAUAUAAUUUAUGAUACGUUCAGUGAAUAAGGAGGAGAAUACACAGAGGUUUUUAAAUAAAAUAAAUCUUAUUUAAAUUAAAAUCUAUAUGUUGGGUUGAGUUUAGGAGCAACUGAAUAAGUAGUAGAACGUAAUUUGGAGAGCAUAAUGGCAAAUUCAGGAAUUAUUUCAGUUGCUAGGUACUAUAUAAAAGGUGCCGAGAACAGAGACAUUGAAGAACUGUGUAAAGGCCAGUUACUUUAACCAUUUAGUUUUUAGUAUGUAAAGUAAGUAGAUUGCACAAAGAAUAUUUAUAAAUUACUUUUCAAGUUUAAGCAUUUUAUUCAAUCUGUGGGAAAAUUAUAAACUCUUGUCAUGCACUAAAGCAAAGAAUAUUAAAAAGAACAAGCAUAUUAAAAACUGUAAAAGCCUACAUUAUUUUUUAAGGAAGGAUCGCAUCUUGUUUACUCUUUGUUUUUUGUGGAAGCUAUUAUAAAAGAAAAUGAAUGAGUUAACAAAUUGGCAGAUAUUAUAUAUAUAAAAAUUAAUGAGCUAUUUAGCAAUUAAUUUAAAGGAAAAGCUUAUUAAUAACUUCAGUGGAUUACUUAUAGUUUUAGAAUUUGAAGGUUGACAAAUUGCAUCUCUAAUUCAAGUAAGAAAUAAAAUUUAUAAUGGGAAGUUAUGUCUUUGAAGAGUCAGUAUCUUACUGUUGUGUGCCCAUAAAAAGGUUCAGUUAACAGAGACAAGAGAAAUACUCCUUUGAUUUUUCCCAUUAUAUGAGCAAUGCAUGCUCAUUAUCACUUGUUAAAACUACAUGGUACAUAAAGAAAAAAAAGUUAGAUUUAUAGAUUAAUAGUAACAUGGAAUAAAUCCCUAACAUUCUCUCUUCCGUAUCCUUCUCUGAAAUUAUAAAAUGGAGAUGAAGAAGUUUCAACAUCGGGACCAUAAUUCAAUUCUCUCCUAACUACUGAUUACAAUUGUGGUGGAGAAAAAGGUGUUCCUGGAGAAAGAAAGAAGACCAGAUAUUAGAGUGGGAAAGAAAAGAACAUUGAAUUAAAACAAACGAGUGAAGACCAUGUAAAGAUAGA